rnacentral:rRNA from 1 species
UACGUAGGGGGGCAAGCGUUGUCCGGAUUUAUUGGGCGUAAAGAGCGUGUAGGCGGCCAUACAGGUCAGCUGUGAAAACUCGAGGCUCAACCUCGAGACGUCGGUUGAAACCGUAUGGCUAGAGUCCGGAAGAGGAGAGUGGAAUUCCCGGUGUAGCGGUGAAAUGCGCAGAUAUCGGGAAGAACACCCGUGGCGAAGGCGGCUCUCUGGGACGGUACUGACGCUGAGACGCGAAAGCGUGGGGAGCAAACAGGG